CAGUAGCCGCGGGAAUACGUAGGUGGCAAGCGCUGUCCGGAAUUAUUGGGCGUAAAGGGCUCGCAGGCGGUUUCUUAAGUCUGAUGUGAAAGCCCCCGGCUCAACCGGGGAGGGUCAUUGGAAACUGGGAAACUUGAGUGCAGAAGAGGAGAGUGGAAUUCCACGUGUAGCGGUGAAAUGCGUAGAGAUGUGGAGGAACACCAGUGGCGAAGGCGACUCUCUGGUCUGUAACUGACGCUGAGGAGCGAAAGCGUGGGGAGCGAACAGGAUUAGAUACCCCCGUAGUCCCUGUCUCUUAUAC
rnacentral:rRNA from 1 species